rnacentral:lncRNA from 1 species
CAAACAGGGCCUUUCUUCUCUGCAGCAAAAAAGAAAAGGAAAAAAAACCCUUGAACUUUUGGGCUGCAAUCUCCCCUUUCCGUUCCCCAAAAACACCUCCACCACCGUCGUCUUCGUCGGCCGUGCCACCUAAACACCACCAUCGGCUCUAUUUCUCUUUCUUCUUCAUUACAACAAACAAAAGCAUAAAAUCACUUGAACUUCCGUCUGCAAUCUCCCAUUUCCGUUCCCAAAAACACUUCCACCGCCGACAUCUUCAUCUAUUGUGCCACCUAAACACCACCAUCGGCCCACCACUCAUUCAUUUACGAAUUCUUCCACGACGUCGUUUUACAACCCCAGCACGGCAUCCGCUACUACUCCUGCAAGUAAAGCUAAAGAAAAUGUCACCGUUACUGUACGAUUUCGGCUCCUCAGUUAAUGUAUUUCUUCUUUUCUUUAAAUUCGAUGACUCCUAGAUGUUGGUAGUAAGUGGGUUCCACAAAUACGUAGGAUAGUUUCGUUAAUGGUGUUUGGAAGACUGAUUUUUUUGGUGUAUUUGUUGACUUGUUUGUUUUUGGGAUUCUUAGGUGAUGAUAUGAGGCAUAUUUUAGUUUUCAGUAUAAUCAAUUUUAGUAUUUCUUUUUUUCCAUGAAUUCUCUUUAUUAGGACUUCAGAAUUUGUUGCUACAUAGCUCGAGAUACAAGGACUUCAGAAUUGGUUGCUAUCAAAGUGAUAUCAUUAGCUGAAGGGGACCUAAUUAUAAUCCUUUUUUUUCAAUUGCAUAUAAUAAUACUACAUAAGUUUAGUGGAUGGAAUAUGAAGUUUGAAAUCUCAUAAUUAUAGGAUGGUUAUGAAGAAAUUCGUGGUGAAAUUGAGAUGUUGCAGCAAUGUAGUCACCCUAACAUUGUUUGCUAUCUAGGUAGCUACCAAGGAGAAGAAUAGCAUUGGGUAUGAAGAAGAUCAUAGGCCUUCAAUUAUAUAAUAAUUUUUUAUCUUUUUGGGAUGGUACCGAGACCAUGAUGCUGUGUACCCCCUCCGUUUGGUUUCUAAAUCAGAUGACAACUGUUAGUUAUUCACAUGAAUUUAAAUAUCUGAGAAUUUUGUAUUUGUUGGCAUAUUGUAAUGGAUUAUUUUGGGGGCAGGAGUGUUGCUGACUUGAUGAAAGGCCUUAGCCUCUAGAGGAGUGUAAAAUGGCAUAUAUCUGCAGAGAGGCAUUGAAGGUACCGUCAUUUUGGUUAGUUAUAUUUCAAAAUCGAACUUUUUUAUCUUUACUACAGAUUUGUAUAAAUGUGUCCUUAAAAAUGCUGGGAUUGUUAUUGGGUAAUAGGGAAUGAUUUUGUCCAUGAGAUAAUGCUUGACCAUCCAAGGUUAAAAUAUUUCAUGACUUGGCACGAAUGUUUUAUUUUAGAGUUUGAUAAUUACCACAUACUUUUCCAUACUAAUCUUCUUUUACUGAAAUGCAAAAGGUGAGAAUACCUGUUCCCAUGAUGUAUAAAAUAAGCUAAAUCAGUGGGUAAUUUGAGAAAAAAUUAUUAAGAAAAAAUUGUCAUUAACGUUGGGACAUGCCAAAAUUGACAAUAUGGACAUCUCCAAUAUAUUUGUUUCUGGCUGUUUCUUAUAUUUUGCUGAAACUAUAUCUAUAUUAUCUAAUGCAGGGUUUAUCAUACUUGCACUCAAUUUUCAAGGUACAUAGAGAUAUUAAAGGUAGUAAUGUGUUGUUGACAGAGUUGAAUAUUAUUUUACUAUCUAUGUUUACAAGAAGCUCUUGUUAAUACCUGUGCAGUUGGGUGGUUGAUUUACCUUAUGGUUCUUGAAAUCUUAGAAAGCUCUUUAAGUUGGAACCUGCUAUAUAUGCCAGUGCAAGGUAUUUUUAUUAUGUCCG